rfam:Paenibacillus naphthalenovorans strain 32O-Y, complete genome.
GUGCAAAAGAAGAAGCGCCCGCUUCUCACCUGUCCGACGAAGGUUGGCUGGUUAUGAAUGAUAGUGAGCUUACUUGAAUAUCUGAUGCUUUAUCGGAUAGAUCGAUCACUUGAAACAAACUGCGUGGGCGUUUUUAACGCCCGCGUAUUUUUUUUAAU